rnacentral:rRNA from 1 species
GAUGAGCAUGCGUCCCAUUAGCUUGUUGGUAAGGUAACGGCUUACCAAGGCAACGAUGGGUAGGGGUCCUGAGAGGGAGAUCCCCCACACUGGUACUGAGACACGGACCAGACUCCUACGGGAGGCAGCAGUGAGGAAUAUUGGUCAAUGGGCGCAAGCCUGAACCAGCCAUGCCGCGUGCAGGAUGAAGCAUCUAUGGUGUGUAAACUGCUUUUGUACGAGAAGAAACACUCCUUCGUGAAGGAGCUUGACGGUAUCGUAAGAAUAAGGACCGGCUAACUCCGUGCCAGCAGCCGCGGUAAUACGGAGGGUCCAAGCGUUAUCCGGAAUCAUUGGGUUUAAAGGGUCCGUAGGCGGUUUUGUAAGUCAGUGGUGAAAGCCCAUCGCUCAUCGGUGGAACGGCCAUUGAUACUGCAAGACUUGAAUUAUUGGGAA